rnacentral:rRNA from 1 species
AUGAAAUUAAAAUUAUUAAAUAUAAUUUUAUCAAUAAUAAAUAAACUUAAUAAUAAUAAUAAUAUUAUUAUUAAUAAUCUAUUAGAUUCAUUAAUAAAUAAGAAAUUAUUAUUAAAGAAUAUAUUAUUAGAUAUAAAUAAUAAAAAAAUAAAUAAUAUAAAAAGAAUAUUAAAUAAUAAUAAUAUAAAUAUUAAUAAUAAAUUACAACAUUUAAAUAAUAUAAAUAAUUGAAAUCUACAAAUUUAUAAUUAUAAUAAAAAUAUAGAAAUUAUAAAUACUAUAAAUGAUAAAUUAAUUAAUAAAUUAUUAUAUAAAAUAAUAACUUUAAAAUUAAAUAAUAUAAAUAUUAAUAAAAUUAUUAUAAGUAAACUUAUUAAUCAACAUAGUUUAAAUAAAUUAAAUAUUAAAUUUUAUUAUUAUAAUAAUGAUAUUAAUAAUAAUAAUAAUAAUAAUAAUAAUAAUUAUUAUAUAAAUAUAAUAAAUAAAUUAAUAAAUAUUAUAAAUAAUAAUAUAAAUAAUAAUUUAUGUAAUAUUUUAAGUUAUUAUUAUAAUAAAAAAGUAACUAUUGAACCUAUUAAAUUAUCAUAUAUUUAUUUAAAUAGUGAUAUUUUUAGUAAAUAUAUUAGUUUAAAUGAUAUAGAUAAAUAUAAUAAUGGUAUCUUAACUAAUUAUCAACGUAUAUUAAAUAAUAUUAUGCCUAAAUUAAAUGAUCAUAAUAUUUCUAUAAAUUAUAUUAAUAAUAUUAAUAAUAUUAAUAAUAAUAAAUAUAAUAAUAUAAUUAAUUUAUUAAAUAAUAAUAAUAAUAAUAAUAAUAAUAAUAUUAAUAAUAAUAAUAAUUAUAAUAAUAAUAAUAAUAAUUAUAUUGGUAAUAUUAAUAAUAUUUAUAAUAAUAUAACUAUUGAUAAUAUUCCUAUAGAUAUUUUAAUAUAUAAAUAUUUAGUUGGUUGAUCUAUUAAAUUUAAAGGUAGAUUAAGUAAUAAUAAUGGUAGAACUAGUACACUUAAUUUAUUAAAUGGUACUUUUAAUAAUAAAAAAUAUUUAUGAAGUAAUAUUAAUAAUAAUUAUAAAUUAAAUUAUAUCCCUUCUAAUCAUAAUUUAUAUAAUAAUUCUAAUAUUAAUAAAAAUGGUAAAUAUAAUAUUAAAGUUAAAUUAAACUUUAUUUAA